rnacentral:lncRNA from 1 species
GUUCUUUAGUACAUCAUUAAGGAUUUUCGUAUAAAUAUCAGGUGAUGCAUACCACAAUUUGUUCUAUACUAUUUACAAAUAUCAUAUAGUAUAAGUAAAAUAUAUGUCAGAUCCGAUUUAAUUACUUUUGUCCUCCGCCGCCGUUAAACCCUUCCACUGGAUCUGCAAAAUAUAUGUCAGGUUUGAUUUAAUUGCCGACAACCUAAAUCAAGCUUACUUCGAACAUGGUUAUAUUUUCCGUACUGCUAUAAAUCAGACAUACUUACCUCGAUUCAUGCUCUUUCUUCUUUGCAAUCGCUCGGCCUCAGUAACCCUAACUUUUUCUUGACUUUUAUAAAAAUUGCUUCAGCCAUUAGUCGAACUGGUAAUCUUUUCUUUCCCCAAACACAGACAAACGAAAGUUUUGGCUCUCCAAAUCUGUAUUCUUUCUCGCAUGAGUUCUUUU